rnacentral:rRNA from 1 species
AGGGCGUACGGCGAAUGCCUUGCCACUCGAAACUGAAGAAGGACGCGCCAAACUGCGAAAAGCUCCGUGAAGCUGUAAGGAAGCGAAGAAGCGGAGGUGUCCGAAUGGGGGAACCCGGCAGCAGACAUGAGCUGUCAUCUGCAGGUGAAUACAUGGCCUGCAAGAGAGGUACCCGGCGAACUGAAACAUCUAAGUAGCCGGAGGAAAAGAAAACAACAGUGAUUCCCUGAGUAGCGGCGAGCGAAAGGGGAGAAGCCCAAACCGGUUGAAGGACCGGGGUUGAAGGACCAUGACAUGGCAAGAACGAGGAUAGGAGAACGGGAUCGAAAGCCCGGCCGAAGAAGGUGAAAGCCCUGUAACCGAAAUCCAAGGGAAGCCUAAUGGGAUCCUGAGUACGGCGAGACACGAGAAAUCUUGUCGGAAGCAGGCGGGACCAUCCGCCAAGGCUAAAUAUAAACGAGUGAGCGAUAGUGAACCAGUACCGUGAGGGAAAGGUGAAAAGAACCGCGGGAGCGGAGUGAAAGAGAACCUGAAACCGUAUGCCUACAAGAAGUCAGAGCCCGUUAAGGGGUGAUGGCGUGCCUUUUGUAGAAUGAACCGGCGAGUUGCGACAGACUGCGAGGUUAAGGAGGAAAGACCGGAGCCGAAGCGAAAGCGAGUCUUAAGAGGGCGAAAGUAGGAUGUUGCAGACCCGAAACCGGGUGAUCUAGCCAUGAGCAGGUUGAAGUUGAGGUGAAACUCAAUGGAGGACCGAACCGACUACCGUUGAAAAGUUAGCGGAUGACUUGUGGCUAGGGGAGAAAUUCCAAUCGAACCCGGAGAUAGCUGGUUCUCCCCGAAAUAGCUUUAGGGCUAGCGUCGGAAAGAACCUUAGUGAAGGUAGAGCACUGAAUGUGUGAUGGCCCCAUCCCGGGGUACUGAAUACAAUCAAACUGCGAAUGUCAUUAAGGAUGUCCGGCAGUCAGACUGUGAGUGAUAAGGUCCAUGGUCAAGAGGGAAACAGCCCAGACCGCCAGUUAAGGUCCCAAAAUACAGGCUAAGUGGAAAAGGAUGUGGGGAUGCCCAGACAACUAGGAGGUUGGCUCAGAAGCAGCCAUCCUUUAAAGAGUGCGUAACAGCUCACUAGUCGAGUGACCCUGCGCCGAAAAUGUACCGGGGCUAAGCCUGAUACCGAAACUGCGGAUUGUAGGAAACUAUAGUGGUAGGGGAGCGUUGUAUACGAGCAGAAGCCGUACCGUGAGGAGCGGUGGAUUGUAUAGAAGUGAGAAUGCCGGUGUGAGUAGCGAGAUGUAGGUGAGAAUCCUACACACCGAAAGCCCAAGGAUUCCAGGGGAAGGUUCGUCCGCCCUGGGUAAGUCGGGACCUAACGCGAGGCCGAAAGGCGUAGUGGAUGGAAAGCAGGCGAAAGAUUCCUGCACCCGUAUAUGGAGCGAAGGAGUGACGGAGACGGAUAGUGUGACCCUCUUAAUGGAUUGAGGGCGAAGCGAAGCGGCUGGUUACCAGGCAAAUCCGGUAACCUUAAGGCUAGAGCGUGACAGGUAAGCGAAAUCUUAGGAAAGUAGCGAAGCACAUGAUGACGGCUUCCAGGAAAAGCUUCUGGCAAUGCAUAUGCGGCCCGUACCAAAACCGACACAGGUGGGCAGGGAGAGAAUCCCGAGGUGAGCGAGAGAACUGUUGCCAAGGAACUCGGCAAAAUGACUCCGUAAGUUAGCGAGAAGGAGUGCUUAAGCAAUUAAGCCGCAGUGAAGAGGCCCAAGCGACUGUUUAACUAAAACACAGCUCUCUGCGAAGUCGCAAGACGAAGUAUAGGGGGUGACACCUGCCCGGUGCUGGAAGGUUAAGAGGAUCUGUUAAGAGCGAUCUGAAGCAGUGAUCCGAAGCCCCAGUGAACGGCGGCCGUAACUAUAACGGUCCUAAGGUAGCGAAAUUCCUUGUCAGGUAAGUUCUGACCCGCACGAAAGGUGUAACGAUUUGGGCGCUGUCUCGGCAGCAGACUCGGUGAAAUCUUAGUACCUGUGAAAAUGCAGGUUACCCGCAACUAGACGGAAAGACCCCAUGGAGCUUUACUGCAGCCUGAUAUUGAAUUCUGGUCAUACAUGUACAGGAUAGGUGGGAGACAAAGAGACGUGCACGCCAGUGUACGAGGAGUCGACGUUGGGAUACCACUCUUGUGUGACCGGGGUUCUAACCUGGUAUCGAGAACAGGUACGGGGAGAGUGUCAGGUGGGCAGUUUGACUGGGGCGGUCGCCUCCCAAAGAGUAACGGAGGCGCCCAAAGGUACGCUCAGAUUGGAUGGAAACCAAUCGACGAGUGCAAUUGCAGAAGCGUGCUUGACUGUGAGACAGACAAGUCGAACAGGGACGAAAGUCGGGAAUAGUGAUCCGGCGGUGCCGAAUGGAAGGGCCGUCGCUCAACGGAUAAAAGCUACCCUGGGGAUAACAGGCUGAUCUCGCCCAAGAGUUCACAUCGACGGCGAGGUUUGGCACCUCGAUGUCGGCUCAUCGCAUCCUGGAGCUGGAUUCGGUUCCAAGGGUUGGGCUGUCCGCCCAUUAAAGCGGUACGCGAGCUGGGUUCAGAACGUCGUGAGACAGUUCGGUCCCUAUCUGUUGUGGGCGAAGGAGAUCUGCGGAGAGCUGUCCUCAGUACGAGAGGACCGGGAUGGACCUACCGCUGGUGCACCGGUUGUUCCGCCAGGGGCAUAGCCGGGUAGCUAAGUAGGGAAAGGAUAAGCGCUGAAAGCAUCUAAGCACGAAGCCUACUCCAAGAUGAGAUCUCCCAUUCG